rnacentral:rRNA from 1 species
CCUACGGGUGGCAGCAGUCGAGAAUCAUUCACAAUGGGGGAAACCCUGAUGGUGCGACGCCGCGUGGGGGAAUGAAGGUCUUCGGAUUGUAAACCCCUGUCAUGUGGGAGCAAAUUAAAAAGAUAGUACCACAAGAGGAAGAGACGGCUAACUCUGUGCCAGCAGCCGCGGUAAUACAGAGGUCUCAAGCGUUGUUCGGAACCACUGGGCGUAAAGCGUGCGUAGGCUGUUUGGUAAGUCGUGUGUGAAAGGCGCGGGCUCAACCCGCGGACGGCACAUGAUACUGCGAGACGAGAGGAAUGGAGGGGGAACCGGAAUUCUCGGUGUAGCAGUGAAAUGCGUAGAUAUCGAGAGGAACACUCGUGGCGAAGGCGGGUUCCUGGACAUUAACUGACGCUGAGGCACGAAGGCCAGGGGAGCGAAAGGGAUUAGAUACCCUUGUAGUC